AAAAUAAAUAUUGAUGUUGAAUUAUAGCUAUAUUUUAAGAGAUUAAAAAAAAAAUAACCUAAAACUGAACUGAUAUCCAAAAUAAACAGAUUUUUUUCCAGAUUAAACAGAUUUAAUGUCUUUUUAUUAAAAAUUAAUAAAACUAAUAAUCACAUUCUGCGUAAGGUGUGAGUUAUUACCUAGUUACUUAGAUACUUAGUAAAUAUCUAUGUUUGGAGGUGCUCUCAUGUUCAAUCGAUUGCUUUUGGAAACUCUCGGAUAAUCCAAAGCUCGAAUCUUUGAUAAUUACACAUUUACACUAACAAAAAAAAAAGAAAGAGAAGAAGAUAAGCUAAACUUAAGCUAGAAGAAAGAACGCUUAAGCUAGAAGAAAGAACAUGC
rnacentral:lncRNA from 1 species